ACGGCGUGGCGGGACCGCGGCAACUGCCAGCGGGCGGGACGGGGGCGGGCCGUCCUCCGUCAGAGCGGGCGGGGCGUUCUGCGGCCUAGGUGAAAGACGCAGGAAAUCACCUUCCAGGAUCUCAGAAAUGUGCCGAAUUCUACCAGAAGAAAAGGAAUUGAGUACCUAGCACUGGCAAGACAGCUCCUUUAGGAUCAUGUUUUAAAAGGAGUUCAGGUCCAGGAAAGCCAACUGAGAAGGUCCUGCAUUACCAAACUCUACACAGAUGAUCCAAAACCAAAGGAUGGAAGUGCUACUGACUGCAACAGGUUCCUCACCAGCCACUAGCUGCAGAUCCGCCAGCUCCAGCCUUCAGAGACACUCUUGUCUCUCUCAUUCUUUCAUCCAUUAAAUGUGAGCUGAAGAAAAUAGCUGCAGUUGUACCUCAUGCUGUGAGCCUAGAGAUCCUCCCCUCAGUUCAGCCACACUUUUAUUCCAUAAAGUUUUCCAUAAAGAACGCAUCUCGGGUUGAAAAGGGAAAAACAUUUAUUUUACCAUUUUUCUCUGAGCUUCAGUGACUGACAAAAGGCACCACUUUUUUCCAUCUGCAAAACCUUAAGGAAAUCCAAUGAUCACAAAGCCAACCAGAUACAUAAACGAGAGCAGAAAAAAUCCUCUUUCAGAACAUCAGAUAAACAAGAAAUGGUUUCAAGAAUUGAUACAGCAUAAAUAUCUGAAUAAAUUAAUUUUUUAAAGUAACAGCCAAAGCACUGAACCAGCAGCCCCCAGCACCUGCUGCCUAUGUCCCACCCAUCCUGCAUUGGUUUCCCUGCAGGGAUUUCCCUAGCUCUCUCCACCCUGGGCCCAGCUGGCUGCAACACGGCUGACAGAGCUGAGGGGAUUCUGUAAAGGACUCUCCAAGUGGAUGUUUCUUCCGGUUCCCAAACCACACAACAGCUAAUUAGUCUCAUGUUGUUAGCAUUACAGUGAUAAACAAUCUAUGCUCUUCUUGCCUAGAGUACUGUUCUCUCUGUGGUAUCGUGCACAAACACAGACAAGCCUACCACAACAUUUAUUUCUCCACCAGUAGAAAAAAAACAUAGGACCACCACCAUUUAUAUCACAUUUCUCAAAGACAAAACUUACUCCUGAACAGCCCCAGCAUGUCAUCAUUUUGCUGUUAGUUGCUCCAAA